rnacentral:rRNA from 1 species
GUCACUUUCGCUUCUUCCCUGCUAAAAGAGGUUUACAACCCGAAGGCCGUCGUCCCUCACGCGGCGUUGCUGCAUCAGGCUUGCGCCCAUUGUGCAAUAUUCCCCACUGCUGCCUCCCGUAG